rnacentral:tRNA from 1 species
AGCCCUGUAGUCUAGUGGUCCAGGAUAAUUGGCUCUGGCCCAGUUGACCUCGGUUCGAAUCCGAGCAGGGCUA